UACGAAGGGGGCUAGCGUUGUUCGGAAUUACUGGGCGUAAAGCGCGCGCAGGCGGCUUGGUAAGUUGGGGGUGAAAUCCCUGGGCUCAACCCAGGAAUGGCCUUCAAGACUGCUUGGCUGGAGGACGAGAGAGGUGAGUGGAAUUCCCAGUGUAGAGGUGAAAUUCGUAGAUAUUCGCAAGAACACCAGUGGCGAAGGCGGCUCACUGGCCCGAUACUGACGCUGAGGUGCGAAAGCGUGGGGAGCAAACAGG
rnacentral:rRNA from 1 species